rnacentral:rRNA from 1 species
GUACACGCUGUGACUAGCAUAUCAAUAAGCGGAGGAAAAGAAACUAACAAGGAUUCCCCUAGUAACGGCGAGUGAAGCGGGAAGAGCUCAAAUUUGAAAUCUUAAAGGGUUUCCCUUUACGAAUUGUAGUUUAAAGAAGGUGUUUUCUGUUGAGGUUUUGGUAAGAGUUCUUUGGAAUAGGACAUCAUAGAGGGUGAGAAGUCCCGUAUUUGACCUUUACUUUCAACUUUGUGAUACACUUUCAAAGAGUCGGAUUGUUUGGGAAUGCAGUCCAAAAUGGGUGGUAAAUUUCAUCUAAAGCUAAAUAUUGGCGAGAGACCGAUAGCGAACAAGUACCGUGAGGGAAAGAUGAAAAGAACUUUGAAAAGAGAGUUAAACAGUACGUGAAAUUGUCAAAAGGGAAGCGUUUGACACUAGUGUUGUUUUUCUGAAAAUCAAUUAAAGAACUGUUCAUGCUAAGUUGUUUAGACUUUAUCAGCUAUCUGUUUAGUUUUGAGCUUUUCUUUAAUGCACUUUUCAGUUAACAAGUCAACAUCAAUUUCUUUUGCUGUAAAAAAGCUUGAGGAAGGUGGCUUGAGAUUCGUCUUAAGUGUUUAUAGCCUCUUGCCUAUGCAGUCGGAGAGAUUGAGGUCUGCAGCGUAGAUCCUUCGGGGCUAAAUGCAUUUGUGCUAAGUUAUAGCAUUUUAUAGACAACUUGUUGACUAUGAUUUGUCUUGUAGCUUACUCGCUUAUGUUAUUUUACCUACGCUUAGGAUGUUGAUGAUGUAGCACAUCAU